UACAGAGGUCCCGAGCGUUGUUCGGAUUUACUGGGCGUAAAGGGUGCGUAGGUGGUCGGGUAAGUCUCAUGUGAAAUCCCGCAGCUUAACUGCGGAACGGCAUGGGAUACUAUUCGGCUCGAGGAUUGGAGGGGGGACUGGAAUUCCCGGUGUAGCAGUGAAAUGCGUAGAUAUCGAGAGGAACACCUGCGGCGAAGGCGGGUUGCUGGGCUGACACUGACGCUGAUGCGCGAGAGCGUGGGGAGCGAACAGG
rnacentral:rRNA from 1 species